GCCGACGUAGCUCAGUGGUAGAGCAAGGCUUUCGUAAAGCUUAGGUCGGGGGUUCAAAUCCCUCCGUCGGCUCCA
rnacentral:tRNA from 1 species